rnacentral:rRNA from 1 species
UACAGAGGUCUCAAGCGUUGUUUCGGAUUCAUUGGGCGUAAAGGGUGCGUAGGCGGCGCGGUAAGUCGGGUGUGAAAUCUCGGGGCUUACUCCGAAACUGCAUCGAUACUGCGGUGCUUGAGGACUGGAGAGGAGACUGGAAUCAUGGUGUAGCAGUGAAAUGCGCAGACUAUCAGGAGGAACACCGGUGGCGAAGGCGGGUCUCUGG